GAUUUUUUCUUGCAGAGUUUUUGCAAGCCUACAACACCGACUGGAUUUUUAAGGGACACAGCCCACCUCGUUGGCCCGCACUGACCAAUGUCUGUGUGCAAUGAGAUCCUGACCAAUGUUGUUGACCCUGACAUUGUUAAAAAGGCUAAAGAACAGAAUCUCAAACACCACAGUGACCGAUCAGGUGCGUGCAUGGGCAAUAUGGACAUAUGCUAUGGAGAUUUAAACCAGCACCACAUAUCCUUCCUUGGCUACUGGAAGCAGCAGAGCUGUAGUAGCAUCAAGGCAAGCAUAUGCUGUUCCAUAAUUCUGCUUACAAGCCUAAUGGAGUUCUACUAAUAUGAUUCUAGAGCUUUGAAUAUGCUGAGUAGGUUGGUUUUGUUCACACACGUCUAAGCUGUGUUCAGUCAUGGAUCUAUCCUGGGAUAUAAGCUGCAUUCACAUAUUGCAAAACAUCAGCAGCAUCACCAAAUGAGUCUCAGAAAUGUCCUGCAUAUUUGUCAGUGUUAGUAAUAUAUAACCACAGCAUCCUGCAUUUAUGAGAUCUGCUUAGAUUCUUCUCUUCUGGCUUCCAACUGGGCAAGGCUGGAGCUGUGCAAGGAGUCAAAGAUAACUCUGUAGGUUCUACCACUGCAGAAAGUUGCUGGCUUUUGAAAGCCAGGUGAUGGCAAAGGAGGACUUAGAGGUAUAAGAGUGACCAUACUUUUCCAUUCUCCCUACUUUGUAGCUGGACUUAUGUGGAAGGAUGGCUGACCCAGGGAGGUCAUGUUUAUCUCUAAGAGAGGGGAGCAAGUGUCUCCUAAAGGCCUGUUGGAGCUGGUAAAAUGGGCCCGACGACAUGGACACCUUACGGAGGUGGCACUGAUAUGCAGUGUUUCUGAAUGGCGUGAUAUAGGAGAUCAGAUGUGGGACUGUAUGAUAUCUGGGGGGAAGGAUGAGAAGUUGCUGAAGCCUCUGGGACCGCUGUGGCGUGCUGUUGCCAACACCUUGAAGGCCAUGCAGGCGGAACAGCAGGUCGCAGCAGCAGCCAUGCAUGCUUUAUCGGGGACAGCCAUUCCAUCUACCUCUUUAAUGGAGACCCCAGUGAAGGGACUCACACACCCUGUUUGUUCAUCUGCUGCGGAGCUUAAGGCUGCAGUAGGAGACUCUGAGUUGGAGGCAGCUGAAGGGGAGGCAGCCCCCCCCUCCUAAGCUGAUUGUGCAGCAACCGGUCACUCCUCCUGCCCCUAAAGAGGAGAGUGAAUCAGGCAGCGACUCAGAGGAUGAUUCUAAGGACUUGGAAGCACUAACUGAAAGGCUGCAGCGCCUGGAGGUUCGGGUGUGUGACAAGAUAAAGGAGUCUAGCCUUACAGGGCCACAAGCACUCUGGGGCCAGCCAAGGGGUCCUGUUGUACCGAGUGCACCUCCACCAUUCGCUGCGGUGCCAUCGGCCCCACCCCAGUGGUCCGGAGUUAUCAGGGAUGCAAUCCUGGAGGGAGACUGGGAGGUUGCAUCUAAGGUCGCUUGUCCAG
ensembl:lncRNA